rnacentral:rRNA from 1 species
GACGAACGCUGGCGGCGUGCUUAACACAUGCAAGUCGUACGGUAAGGCCCUUUCGGGGGUACACGAGUGGCGAACGGGUGAGUAACACGUGAGUAACCUGCCUACAACUUUGGGAUAACGCUAGGAAACUGGUGCUAAUACUGGAUAUGUGCUCCUGCUGCAUGGUGGGGGUUGGAAAGCUCCGGCGGUUGUGGAUGGACUCGCGGCCUAUCUGCUUGUUGGUGGGGUAGUGGCCUACCAAGGCGGCGGCGGGUAGCCGGCCUGAGAGGGUGACUGGCCACAUUGGGACUGAGGUACGGCCCAGACCCCUACGGGGGGCAGCAGUGGGGAAUAUUGCACAAUGGGCGCAAGCCCGAUGCAGCAACGCCGCGUGCGGGAAGACCGCCUUCGGGUUGGAAACCGCUUUCAGCAGGGACGAAGCUUUUUGUGACGGUACCUGCAGAAGAAGCACCGGCUAACUACGUG